GCCUCUGCGGUGUAGCGGUAGCAUGUACCCCAGGUAUGGGUGAAACAUGGGUUCAACUCCCGCCUGUGGUC